rnacentral:snRNA from 1 species
UUGCUUUUGUAGUACAUUUACUAGAAUAGUAAGGACACAGAUACGAUUAACAUAGCUUCUGCGCUAGGAAAAUACGCAAAACCGUGAAUUGUACUUUAUUUCU